UUAUCUUGGAUUCUGAAAAAAUCUUAACAGAUUCUUGAAUAUUACACCCUUAUGUGAGUGAAGGGAACAGUUACAGCAGUAACGACUUGCUGGUGUGGAUUGAUUUGCCCUCCAGUGAGACUCCUUGGUUUCUGCUUCCUAACACGUCGUCUUCCAGAGGAGUGUUGACACAGGACUCUGGUUUGCCAUUCAUCCAAUGCAGAUCCCAACAUUAUUCUGUAGACUUAUGAUUUGAGUUCAAAAGUGUGGCUUGUUGCAUUGCUAGGGUCUGUAGUACACUCUUCUCUCCAUGCUUACCCAAAUAACUCAGGUCAAAACUUAACUUCCUUCUGCUUGGAUCUUAGGAACCUGAUACUCAUCAGAAAGACCACAGAGAAGACUGGAAGGAGGUCAUUCCUCUCAUCUCCUCAGCCUGCUGGUGCAGAUUUCCAACGUGCCCACAUUAUGGGAGUUUCUGUUUGUAUCCCACAGUAUGUUUGGCCUGAAGACCAUUG
rnacentral:lncRNA from 1 species